rnacentral:rRNA from 1 species
AUACGGAGGAUGCGAGCGUUAUCCGGAUUUAUUAGGUUUAAAGGGUGUGUAGGCGGUAUUUUAAGUCAGUGGUGAAAUCUCGGAGCUUAACUUCGAAACUGCCAUUGAUACUGGAAUACUUGAGUAUAGUUGAGGUAGGCGGAAUAUGUAAUGUAGCGGUGAAAUGCAUAGAUAUUACAUAGAACACCGAUUGCGAAGGCAGCUUACUAAACUAUUACUGACGCUGAUGCACGAAAGCGUGGGGAGCGAACAGGAUUAGAAACCCCUGUAGUCC